ensembl:lncRNA
CCCCAAGCAUGAGACAGACGGACGGGGAGAUACAUUAAGAGGACCAGAGAGCUAACAACAGAACACCAACACACACACACACACCCCCCCACACAGACAGACAGACAUAUGUCGGGAGGGGGGAGAGAGAAGGGAGCAAGCUAAGGCAAAGUGCAGGUGUGCUGAUUGAGCCGUCAGAUUGGGACCAGUUCCUCCACACCACACACACACACACACACACACACACACACACACACACACACCCCCCACGGACACACACAAAUAGGUGAUGCUCCAAUUGGUGAUGAGGCCGUUGCUGCAGGGGCCCGGGGGGUGGGGGAUGGAGCAGCCCUUUGAGUGAAGCAUGGUGAGGGGGGGGGGGGGGGUUCGGUGACGCCCGGGAGCCCGUAGGUCCGGGAUGGGAUCAAACCAUCUCAUGUGAGACGCUCUGUGAUUGGGUAAGGCCGGGCCAUCGUCCUGGCAACAGGGGGAGCGGGAAGCAACAUGAACAGAGCUACCGGUCCAAGGGAGGAGCCAGGCGACAAGAGGGAGGAGCCAGGAGACGAGAGGGAGGAGACAGGAGACAAGAGGGAGGAGCCAGGAGACGAGAAGGAGGAGACAGGAGACGAGAGGGAGGAGCCAGGAGAUGAGAAGGAGGAGCCAGGAGACGAGAGGGAGGAGACAGGAGACGAGAAGGAGACAGGAGGGAGGAGACGAGAUUGGAGACAGGAGACGAGUGGGAGAUGAGAGAUUGUAGGGAGGAGACUAUACAUUAACAUGGAGGUGAGGUGAGCGGGAGGAGACGUACGGACAGACAGACGCACGGCCUGAUGAGCUCACACUGGAGAUAAACGAAGCAGAACUCGGAGCACAGCCGUCGACGCGGCGGAAAGACGCCAGCCGGCCUCAACGCUGGCUACGGAAAACAGGUCUGAACGAUGCCAACAUAAUUACUAAGUCUGAAGAUUAGUUGUUUUUUUGUCCGUUUUUCUUUUUUUUUUUUUACAAGAAAAAUACAACGGCUAUCGAAUAGCGAAAGGAAACGAGGGAGGAGGGAGGAGGGAGGAGGCAGCAAGCAGGAGCACAGCGGCGGAACGGAGUCUCACAUCACCGGUUUGAACCGGGGGGGGGAAGAAGUCUCCGUACGCCGUCUCUCAGUCUGCUCACUGCCCCAUCUCAGCCGUCACUAACCUAAUAAGCCUCUCGUUCAAAACGCCCCGUCACUGAUUCUCUUCUCCCCUCUAUGGUAGCGUCAGAAGUGGCAUGAUCAGAAUAGAUAUGGCAGAGAAUUACUAAGCGGUACUGUAAUAAUGCAAAGUAGUUUAGAUUCAAGUAACACCAGCCAUGCCCCGCCCC